UACAGGACGAACGCUGGCGGCGUGCUUAAUACAUGCAAGUCAACUUGACUUUAGAUAGCAAUAUCGAAAGUAGGGUGGCGCACGGGUGCGUAACGCGUAGGUAAUCUGCCCUGAGGUCUGACAUAACCCGUCGAAAGGCGGGCUAACAUCAGAUGAUAUAUAAUCACGACAUCGUGGAAAUAUCAAAUCUUCGGAGCCUUGGGAUGAGCCUGCGUCUGAUUAGGUAGUUGGCGGAGUAAUAGCCCACCAAGCCUACGAUCAGUAGCUGGUCUGAGAGGAUGAUCAGCCACACUGGAACUGAGACACGGUCCAGACUCCUACGGGAGGCAGCAGUAAGGAAUAUUGCUCAAUGGGGGAAACCCUGAAGCAGCAACGCCGCGUGAAGGAUGAAAUACUUUGUAUGUAAACUUCUGUAAGAUGGGAAAAGUAUUCUCCUCGGGAGAAUUGAUUGUACCAUCAGAGUAAGCCCCGGCUAACUACGUG
rnacentral:rRNA from 1 species